GGAGAGUUGACUGAGAGGUAAAGCACUGGCUUGCUAAGUCAGGGUUGGAUUAACACACGGCUAAGUUCGAUUCUUACACUCUCCGCCA
rnacentral:tRNA from 1 species